AAUGAACGCUGGCGGCGCGCCUAAUACAUGCAAGUCGAGCGAGAAGACGUAGCAAUACGUUUGUAAAGCGGCGAACGGGUGAGGAAUACAUGGGUAACCUACCCUCGAGUGGGGAAUAACUAGCCGAAAGGUUAGCUAAUACCGCGUACGCUCCUUGGACUUCGGUUCAGGGAGGAAAGCGAUACCGUGGGUAUCGCGCUCUUGGUUGGGCUCAUGUCCUAUCAGCUUGUUGGUGAGGUAACGGCUCACCAAGGCUUCGACGGGUAGCUGGUCUGAGAGGACGAUCAGCCACACUGGCACUGCGACACGGGCCAGACUCCUACGGGAGGCAGCAAGUAAGGAAUAUUGCGCAAUGGGCGAAAGCCUGACGCAGCGACGCCGCGUGGGGGA
rnacentral:rRNA from 1 species